UUGGAAUUGUGCCAGCAGCCGCGGUAAAACGUAGGUCACAAGCGUUGUCCGGAAUUACUGGGUGUAAAGGGAGCGCAGGCGGGAAGACAAGUUGGAAGUGAAAUCUAUGGGCUCAACCCAUAAACUGCUUUCAAAACUGUUUUUCUUGAGUAGUGCAGAGGUAGGCGGAAUUCCCGGUGUAGCGGUGGAAUGCGUAGAUAUCGGGAGGAACACCAGUGGCGAAGGCGGCCUACUGGGCACCAACUGACGCUGAGGCUCGAAAGUGUGGGUAGCAAACAGG
rnacentral:rRNA from 1 species